AACGAACGCUGGCGGCAUGCCUAACACAUGCAAGUCGAACGAGACCUUCGGGUCUAGUGGCGCACGGGUGCGUAACGCGUGGGAACCUGCCCUUAGGUUCGGAAUAACUCCCCGAAAGGGGUGCUAAUACCGGAUAAUGUCUUCGGACCAAAGAUUUAUCGCCUUUGGAUGGGCCCGCGUUGGAUUAGCUAGUUGGUAGGGUAAAAGCCUACCAAGGCGACGAUCCAUAGCUGGUCUGAGAGGAUGAUCAGCCACACUGGGACUGAGGCACGGCCCAGACUCCUACGGGAGGCAGCAGUGGGGAAUAUUGGACAAUGGGCGAAAGCCUGAUCCAGCAAUGCCGCGUGAGGGAGGAAGGCCUUAGGGUUGUAAAGCUCUUUUACCCGGGAUGAUAAUGACAGUACCGGGAGAAUAAGCUCCGGCUAACUCCGUGC
rnacentral:rRNA from 1 species